GAUGAACGCUGGCGGCGUGCCUAAUACAUGCAAGUCGAGCGAACAGAUGAGGAGCUUGCUCCCCUGACGUUAGCGGCGGACGGGUGAGUAACACGUGGAUAACCUACCUAUAAGACUGGGAUAACUUCGGGACACCGGAGCUAAUACCGGAUAAUAUAUUGAACCGCAUGGUUCAAUAGUGAAAGACGGUUUUGCUGUCACUUAUAGAUGGUUCCGGGCCGCAUUAGCUAGUUGGUAAGGUAACGGCUUACCAAGGCAACGAUGCGUAGCCGACCUGAGAGGGUGGACGGCCAGACGGGAACUGAGACACGUUCCAGACACCUACGGGGGGAAGCAGUAGGGAAUCUUCCGCAAUGGGCGAAAGCCGGACGGAGCAACGCGGCGUGAGUGAUGAAGCUCUUCUGAUCGGAAAGCGCUGUUAUUAGGAAAGAACAAAUGUGUAAGUGACUAUGCACGUAUUGACGGUACCUAAUGAGAAAGCCACGGCUAACUACGUG
rnacentral:rRNA from 1 species